UUGGCGGCAUUUGUUGGAAGGUAUUAAUAAGAAGUUCGAGGUCUGGACGGACCAUAAGAACUUGGAAACCCUUCAAACCCCUAGGAAACUGUCACCAAAACAGGUGGACUCCUGGUAGGGGGAGCUGCCUGUUGAGACCCCACGUUCGACAAUCUGAAGAUAGAAACCCAUACACCUGCGGGAGCGCUACAGGGGAGCCGUGGGAGGUGGUGGUUGGCACUGAUACGUUCCUGGACACAUAUAUGGUGGAGGGGGGUGAUAGAGCGAGUAUGCGGACGGUCACCUUGCGGACGCGAUAGGGUUUGCUCGGUAGCUGCUGCACACUGACGCUCCUGAUUGCUGGGGCGGAACGGGUGAUGUGUGGAGCCGAAAACCCGGAAAUAUGAACUGAUUAGAGCGCUUAUUUAAACAGCGUUGGGCUGCGGUGAUGCCCAACGCCGACUUUGUGUUAUCGUUAUCUGAACUCAGCAAUGUCCGCAGCAGCUAUGGAUGAUGAAUAAACCUUUUCCCUGCUUCAACGCA